AUUGAACGCUGGCGGCAUGCUUUACACAUGCAAGUCGAACGGUAACAGGCCGCAAGGUGCUGACGAGUGGCGAACGGGUGAGUAAUGCAUCGGAACGUGCCCAGUCGUGGGGGAUAACGCAGCGAAAGCUGCGCUAAUACCGCAUACGAUCUGUGGAUGAAAGCGGGGGACCUUCGGGCCUCGCGCGAUUGGAGCGGCCGAUGUCAGAUUAGGUAGUUGGUGGGGUAAAGGCUCACCAAGCCGACGAUCUGUAACUGGUCCGAAAGGACGACCAGCUACACUGGGACUGAGACGCGGCCCAGACUCCUACGGGAGGCAGCAGUGGGGAAUAUUGGACAAGGGGGGCAACCCUGAUCCAGCAAUGCCGCGUGCAGGAAGAAGGCCUUCGGGUUGUAAACUGCUUUUGUACGGAACGAAAAGGCUCUGGUUAAUACCUGGGGCACAUGACGGUACCGUAAGAAUAAGCACCGGCUAACUACGUGCCAGCCGCCGCCGUAACAC
rnacentral:rRNA from 1 species